GCAGGCUUAACACAUGCAAGUCGAACUGGUCCUUCGGGAUAGUGGCGGACGGGUGAGUGACACGUGGGAACGUACCCUUAGGUUCGGAACAACACAGGGAAACUUGUGCUAAUACCGGAUGAGCCCUUCGGGGGAAAGAUUUAUCGCCUUUGGAGCGGCCCGCGUCUGAUCAGCUAGUUGGUGAGGUAAUGGCUCACCAAGGCGACGAUCAGUAGCUGGUCUGAGAGGAUGGCCAGCCACACUGGGACUGAGACACGGCCCAGACUCCUGCGGGAGGCAGCAGUGGGGAAUCUUGCGCAAUGGGCGAAAGCCUGACGCAGCCAUGCCGCGUGGAUGAUGAAGGUCUUAGGAUUGUAAAAUCCUUUCACCGGGGACGAUAAUGACGGUACCCGGAGAAGAAGCCCCGGCUAACUUCGUGCCAGCAGCCGCGGUAAUACGAAGGGGGCUAGCGUUGCUCGGAAUUACUGGGCGUAAAGGGCGCGUAGGCGGACAGUUAAGUUGGGGGUGAAAGCCCGGGGCUCAACCUCGGAAUUGCCUUCAAUACUGGCUGUCUUGAGUACGGGAGAGGUGAGUGGAACUCCGAGUGUAGAGGUGAAAUUCGUAGAUAUUCGGAAGAACACCAGUGGCGAAGGCGACUCACUGGCCCCGUUACUGACGCUGAGGCGCGAAAGCGUGGGGAGCAAACAGGAUUAGAUACCCUGGUAGUCCACGCCGUAAAACGAUGAGUGCUAGUUGUCGGCAUGCAUGCAUGUCGGUGGCGCAGCUAAACGCAUUAAGCCACUCCGCCUGGGGGAGUACGGUCGCAAGAUUA
rnacentral:rRNA from 1 species